UGAAAAUGGAUUCUGUUAAAAAAAAAAAAAAAAAAAAAAAAAAAACAGGAUUUUGAGCACAAGGCCACACGGAUCAUGAACCUUGCAUUGGGGGACCAACAUACAAAAUUCAUUUUUUUUUCUAAAAAAAAUAUGUAGUAACAGUAAAUUGAAACUUAAAACAUACUUAAAAUGUAGAGAAAAAUAGAUUUUAAAUGUCUGAUUUACAGUUUAGGACAUUUUGAAAAUAUAAAAAAGGAGAAAAAUAGAAAACGGGUGAUUAGAGAAAAAACACAUUCACCAAUCUUUGCGAAAUACACCCAAAUCACAUACAAAAACAUUAUAAAACAAUCAGUAAUUUUUAAAUUUUUUUUUAAUCUCCUUGAGUUAUACAUCCAACACAGGGAAACUUGGCUUCGCCCUCCUAACCGAGUGGACUUAGGUGCGCCGUGACACACUGUGAGGGACCAUAGAUCCAUGGUUUCAAAUUCAAUAGCUCUUUCUUUUUAAUUAUCUUUUUUUGAAAAUUUUAAAUUAUUUUUAGCUUUUAUUUGUGGUAUUAUUGAAUUAAAUAAGUUGAAUCAAAGAUGAUUUGAAAAUUAUAUUCAGAUAUAAUGAUUAUUUUUUUGAAUGUAUUUUUCAGGGGGGCUUGACCACCCAAUUAUGUGAUUCGUAUCCAAAAAGUGAUUUGGAGAGGGCGUAUUUUUUAUUUAUUAUUAUAUUUUAUUUAAUGGUAAAGAUUAGCUAUUACCCGUUUUUUUCAUAUAGUUUUGAGAGUUUGUUUUAUUUGAAGGUGUUGGCGGGAUUGAAAACCAUAUAAAUUAAGUCCGUCCCAUUAAAAGCUACAACAUGAUAACUAGGUAUGGGGUUACUACGACUGCAUCCCAAUACCUUUGGUUAAGGGUGGGAAUUGUGCAGUAGGAGUGCCAUUUUUUAAAUUCUUUUGUUUUUUUAAUCUCUCAAUCAAUCCGCAUCCCUGUACCUUUGGUUAAGGGUGGGAAUUGUGCAGUAGGAGUGCCAUUUUUUAAAUUCUUUUGUUUUUUUAAUCUCUCAAUCAAUUUGGGACAUUUAAGUGUGAUAUUUUUAUCCUCCUUCAAUUACGAACGAGUUCUGACGAAAUUUUGAAACGAUGGAUAGUUUUCUUCUGAAUAGUGCCGAAAUGUUAAACCGUUGGCUUGUUUUCGUCUAAUCCGUGACGAAAUUUUAAACCACGCUUUUCUUCUUCACCACUAGGCCCAUAAUGCACCAAGGCACCUGGAUAUGUUCCCUUUCCGUGCGAAAAAUGUGCACAAAGUAACAUUCCUUAUGCUUUUCUAUGACUGAUGUGCUUUUUCUGUAGAAUUAAUGUCGGAAUCUAAUUAAAAAACCAUUAUUUAGGGAAAGGGUAUGCUGACUCUUAGCUUUUUGGAUUGGGUUUUGACCCCACAAAUGGAUAAACAAUUUAGCGGUACUUAAAAAAUGUCAUGUCCUAGACGAAUUCAAGGAAAAUGCGCAACUUAUCACUGUCCCUUUGGCCAUUGGAUUUAUCUACUCAUGUUUGAAGGUUAUGAUAAUUUUUGAAAUCAUAUAAAUUUUGUCCCCUUUUGAGCAGGUAAAACCGGUGUUUUAAUAAAAGGUUGCAUUUGGGUAAGGUGUCAACUUCAAACAAUUGCCUUGUCACCACUUUGGGGUUUUCAUUUCGGGGUCACCCUACUAAUACCUACAAAAAAGCUGAAUCUACUUGAAAAAAUGGGUAGCCUUCUAAUCCAAAAAAAAAAAAAAAAAAAAAAAAAAAAUUAAACUUAAACUUAGAAAACAAUUGGAUAAACAAAAAUUGACACUCAAAAGGCAACUUGGAGAUUUUUGUUAAGAGUUUGAUUAUAAUACUUUUUUACCAUCUAGUUCACAAUAUAAAGAAAAAUAUGGAAGGGGUGAAAAGAAUAAGAAGUAUAAACUAUCAUCGAAAAGGAACCAUUAUUCUAAAAGGAAAGGAAAAUUUUAUAAAUUUUUUGUGAAAGACCAAUCUUUUCCUGUUUGUUUUAAUUGUGGUAAAGUAUGACAUUAUAAAAAUAAAUGUAGAGUAAAAAAGAAGAUUAAUGCCCUUAAAAUUGAAGAUAGUAUUAAAAAACAAUUAUAUAAUAUUCUUUCAGUAAAAGAAGAAUCAUCUGAUAGCUCUUCUGAAGCUGGUGAAGAAUUAAUCG
rnacentral:lncRNA from 1 species